UACCCUACGGGGGGCAGCAGUAGGGAAUCUUCCACAAUGGACGAAAGUCUGAUGGAGCAACGCCGCGUGAGUGAAGAAGGGUUUCGGCUCGUAAAGCUCUGUUGGUAGUGAAGAAAGAUAGAGGUAGUAACUGGCCUUUAUUUGACGGUAAUUACUUGGAAAGUCACGGCUAACUACGUGCCAGCAGCCGCGGUAAUACGUAGGGAGCGAGCGUUAUCCGGAUUUAUUGGGUGUAAAGGGUGCGUAGACGGGAAAAUAAGUUAGUUGUGAAAUCCCUCGGCUCCACUGAGGAACUGCAACUAAAA
rnacentral:rRNA from 1 species